GGUGUGCUAGCUUGAAAAUCUCCUGGUUUAUUAUUAUUAUGAUUGAUAGUCCAGUCAUGUGACAUAAACAACUGCUGAGGUGUAACUUUUCAAUUGCUAAUUUGUGUAAAAAUGUAAAAUAUAAUAUUUUAACUUGUUGGUCAUGGUUUUGUCCAUAAAAAUGACAAAAUGCUUAUUUGGUGGGUUUUGUUUCUACAAGUGGAAAGGCAACACAGCAAAGAUCAGUUUCCAACAGUGUUGUGCAUUCAUUUUUCCUCCCUGCAAGAAUCUAGCUUCAGCCCAUCACAGUUGACAGAGAUACACAAGGAAUUUAGUACAAGAUAUCAUCUGUGGACAGGAGGCAGUAAAACUCCCAGGGAACAGCCGUGGAGCCACAAUCCAAACCUGUGUCAUUACACAUCGCUCUUCGCUCAGUGCCCAAAAAACAAACUGAGCUGGUGUCUCCUCGUCUUGAGCUCAGUGUGUGGGUCUUGCUGCCUGGCAGGGACGCCCUGUCACCCCAGGAAGGACACACCUGGCAGUCUGUGCCCGGGAGCUCUGUUGAGGAGCUGGGGAAGCGGCCGAGUGAGCACCUCCAAUCCAACAGCACCCUCCGCUGCCUGCUCGGGGUAGAGAGACGCCUGCCCGGCUAAUUCCCUCUGACAAGAUGACAAAACCCAGCCGGCGGAAAUCGUUCUAAUUACCACAGAUUAUCCAGCUGUUUGAAGAACACAACAUAGAUGAUGGUAAGUAAGUGACUGGAGUGCUGCCAUGCCUUUGAAACAAAUAAUAAAUAAUUAUAAAAGGGAAUGACAUUUAAAAAAUGUAACCCACUCUGGAGUAAAAUUAAAGAUGAAACUGUAAUUAGUCUACUGUGUGUAUUCUACUAUGAUAUCAUUCCAAAGAAUGUAAAAUUCUUUAUGGUUAGGAUUUUUUCCCUUAUACUGUUAUUUGAUGGUACUUUUUCAAUCUUAAGAAAAUACAAGUCAGAUGUGCUUUCUCACAGUAAACCUCAGCCAUUUUUGGUUAGAGUGGCUUAUAGCCAGAGAGCUGGACACAUUUAUGAGUCACAGCUCCUUUCAGUCACAAAUGCAGGACACUAAACACGACCAACAGCUACUAUUUCUAGGCUGGGAGGCCUUUCUGGAACAACAGUGGCAGGAAUAUUUGUUGAGAAAGUACUGUAAAAAUAGAUGGGCUUAUUCUUUUUUUUUUUUCUUUCCCUCAUAUACUUUUUCUCCUCUUAUUUCUUUCUGUUUCAUGCAUGUUUCUUCUCCUUAAAAGACACAUGAAUGAGUUAAGUAUGCCUUUAGCAUUUCCUGGUGUAACACGUGGAACAGAACUGUCACUGGAAGAAAGUCACCUCGUAAGCAAGGAAUGAGGUGCCUGUACCAAAAAGUGUUUGUAAAUGGGAGGACAGGGCAAGAGAGUGACAGACAACCAGCAUAUCUAGAAGAGGGAAACAAUGGAGAUGAUUUAUAUAGUGAGGAAGAAGCAGGUUCCUCCUCCAGCUCUGUGGAACAUCUCUUAUCUCCUCCUGUCAGACCUGCAAGCCCUCCUUUUGGUUGUGAUUUCUCCUGCACUGCAGCCGUACACUCCAAUUCCUGUGCCGUGCGUGCUGCAAACCCACAAGUACCUCAGCAGCUUCUUGGUUUGCAUUGCCAAGGAGUGGGAGCAUAACACAGAUAUUACAGACAGGCCUCAACAUCCUCAGCAGUUUCCUGACUUCCAGCAGAGAGCAUCAGUUCCCAGCAAGGCAGACUUUUCUCACUGGGGACGCUUCCCUGCACCAGCAGCAGGGAAAUACAGGCAAAAAUCUCUGUACUGCCCCACCUGGACAAUGGGUGUAAGAGCUUAAAGUAAAGAAGGUCUUCCUGACUUACUAGUUUGUUGUUUGCUUUUUUUUUUUUUUUUUUUUUCAUAUUAGCAUCACUGGAGCUGGUGACAAGAGUUAAAAGCAGGAUUUAAGUAGUAGUUGAGGCAAAGAAAGCAUCUAGUGGACACAAAGAAAAGGAGGAGGAAGAUGAAGUAGCAUUAGUAAGGCUUAUCCCAAGGAUUGGGGUAUCUGUACUAAUCCUUCCCAGAAGCAGAGAGCAGUGAGCCUCUUUGGGGUGUUGAGGCUUUGCUUGUGGGCCCUCAUCUCCAGAUGGGUCAUACCAGCAGCUCCUUACAGAUGAGCCAUUGCUUUACUUGGAGACCUUGGGAAGGGCUCUGGAAAGUUCCAGCUCUGCAAAGCAGGGUAAGAGGCAAGGUGUGUGGUGGUUCAGGUGUGUGACAGGGUAGCAGCUCUGUGACAGCCUUUCAGGACAAGACCUGCUGCAGGUGCAGCAAAUGCACGAAGGGAAUUCUGUUGCCACAGCUGGAUGGUGACUCAGUCCUCAGGGACAGUGAGUGAGGUCUGGGUCCAGGACAGGAGCAGGAAAAGUGCUCUCUAAGGAUGCAGAAGGACACCUGACAGCAGGGAUGUGCAACUGUGGGGGCAGAGCCAGGAACCACUGUGCCUCCCCCUCACUUGGUUUAGUGAGGCUGUGCUUGACCUGUGCCACAGCCAGUGGUAAACUGGAGAAUGCUGCAGAGGCACUGGGGCUGCUUUAGGGAUUGGUAGCUCUUCAGCUGCAGCAAUACACAGCUUGGUAUGGCUGCUUUGUACCAGUGCUCUCUGAAGAGAAAAGGAUUCUUGAUUCAUGCCUCUGUGGAGACAGAGUCCGGUUACUACAGAUACCAAGGAGAAAUAAGGCAUCCCUGCACCCACUGUUUGCUCUGUACUCACAUGUCAGGACUGCUGCCUAAGUGUUUAUCAUAUGCCCUAUUUGUAAUUAACAUUGGACUUAUCAAAGAGAGCCAAACUCCCAUGGAAAGCAGGAAAUACAGUUCCCCACGGCUUCUUUCAAAAAUGUUAGAAAAAAAAGAAGAAAAGAAAAAAAGAAGUGUCUUAUUUAAUAUUCCAGAAGCUUUUCACAUAAAUGUAAGUUGUGCAUCCAAAACUUACUUCCUGCUGCACAGAAAGCAAAAUACAUAACUGAGAAAACCCCAUGCUCAGCCUGAAUUUUCAAAAUGCCAUUGUGCAAGAUUUUUGGCAAGACUUUAUCCAGCUCAGAUUGCCCACAUUUAAGAAUGAGUUUAUUCAGACUGGGACAGUUGUGGAAGACUUAAGGCUUAGGAUAAGAAAAACCUUUCUUUCCAGUUGAGGUCAAAAGAGCCUGUCUUGUCUAGUUUGGAAAAAAAAAAAAAAAGAAGUGAAAUGUGUUCACUUUUUAUAAACACAUCAAGGCAAUAGACACCAGGAUGGCCGACAAGCCAUUUAAGCUAAAGAUGUUGUCAGAAGAACAAAUAGCAAUAGACUGGCCCCGAAUGCAUUCCCACUGGAAAUUAUGACAUAUUUUCUAGCAGAAAGGGCAGAAAAUUUCUGGUAAAUCAGUACUAGCAGUGGAAAUGUGAAGCUUGAACUGUUUAUGGGAAGGAUUUUGUGACAAAAUUGCCUGCACCGACUGUGUCAAAGAUGACUCCUCAGGAGGUCCUUCCCAAUCCAGGCUUCUCAGCUGGCUGCUGAUUUGGACACCUUCCUUAGUGAGUUCUCACACAGAUCUGAUGGAAGGACAGUCUCCAGAAAGUGUGGAGCCUUGCAGAGUGUUUUGCCUGGGACAACUUUAAAGAGAUACCCAAAAACGUUAACACCAUGACUUGACCUAUUUUUUUUCUCUUCUCUAGAGAGCUAUUCUCUUGAUCACACACUCAGGAUCAACAUUCUCAGACAUUGGCUUGAAAGGGAAGCGCGUGACACACUGGUUGUUGCUGUGCAUCUGCCUUGUGGAAACACUUCGUUAUCUUCUUUGUUGUUCCCAUGCUGUCUCUUUAAAAACUAAAAGUGAAUCCAAGCAGAAGAGUGGGGUUGAUUUUUGUUUUCCAUGUGCAGGAAGAACAAUUCCAAAAUAAAUGAUGUGCAGAAUACCAAAAAAACCAAAAAAAACAAAAAAAACCAAACCAAACCAAACCAAACAAAACAAAAAAAACCAAAAAAAACCAAAAACAAACCCCCCUCCAAAAAAAAAAAAAAAAACCACAAAAAACCCCACCCAAAACCACCAAAAAACCAAACCAACAAACAAAACCCCAAAACAAAGCAACCAGUCUCCAAAAUGUAUGGAGCAUGUGGAAAGGAGCCACAGCUUAAACUGGUCAUAUUGAAGGCCUUCCUCCAUGGUUUAUUACUGAACACAUAUCAUUUAUACAUGUUGCUUUCCUGAGAUAAGUAGCUUUGGCCCAUCUGCUUAAGUCGAGACCAGUGAUUUUGCCUUAACUGGUGUUUUUAAUGUUGUGUUGUAGUUCUGAGCCCAUUGGUAUUUCCUACAUGCUACCUCUUUGAAUAUCAGUCCUGCUCCAGUGAAGAUUGUUGAAUCAGGUGAGUUUUUAAAAUGCAACUCAUCUGGGCCCUGUGGCAUGUCUGUUCAUUAUGUUUCAAAGGCAAGGUGAAGUGUCCCACAUUUCCAAAGGAUUUGACCUGCUGCCAGGUGAUCAGAAAUGCCCAUGGGGCCAUUAGUUAAACAGCCUUACCUGGAAUCCCAUGAACAGCUACUGGAUGUGAAGAGCUCAUGUUCAUUCUAGCGUGGUCCUUCCCAACUCCCUGUUCAUCAGGUACCUCCUCACCUGCAAAAUAAUGCGGGCAUUCAGCAGCACAAUAAAUUCUCACUUUUCAGUCUUGAGGAGCAUUCCAUACAUCCAUCAUUCCCUUGGAAAAAUGUAACAAAAGAGAACUUUGCAACGGGGAAAAAACAAUCAGAUAAUUGUAAAAUGUAAACUAUGUCUGCAGUUUCACACACAGAGUGAUCAGAUUUGCUCAGCUGAAUGUCAGCCUUGUUUAAGAUAGUGAAACUCCAUUUUCAUGUAAAAAAAAUUGUCUGGCAAGUUUCUGCUAAAACUGACUUCAGUUUAUUUGAAUUAUGCUAGUUCCCUCAAAAUGGUGGUUCAAACCAGAUCAAGGCACAAAACAGGGUAGUCAGCAACACAAGCUGUGCUCCAGAUCCAGUUCUUUUUAGCUCUUUUGCCCAACAGUGGAUUUCCCUACUUUGGGCUCAGUGCAUCUCAGAGUUAACAGGAGCAGGAGAUGAGAUCAUGUUCCCUGUUUUUUACAACCCCAGUGUUGAACAUCAACUCCAGUUCUUCACAUUUCAUUGAUUGCUUUCCUUGGUUAUGGCUCCAAUAAGAUUUAGGAGAAACACAAGUUUAAAAGCAUAUUAUAAAAAAGGAGCAUUUGAAUUUCAGCUUCCCUCUAGGAGUGGAUGUGUGGAAUUGAAGCACCUGUGGCUUCCUAGAGUGCAAGACCCAAGGCCAUCUUUCUUUUAUGAUGAUGGCUUUUGUCUCUUCAUUUUAACAAAGGAUACUGACUCAACAAUGGUCAUAAUCCUCAGCUUGUGCAAUCUGAAGAAGCGUAAGCUCUUUCCAAUCUCUCCUGUGGAAAAUAUGGGAUCAGACAGUUUCACAUUUUUUUACAAAACCAUUUCUUUCUUUCUUUCCUCUAUGGCCUUUUAUUACCCUUUUAGCCGGCCACAUAAAGACAAGAUGAUAUGGCAGAAUUUUUGAAAGUGCCGUGGAAAAGAUUUAAAGCUGGCUUGGUGAUGAAAGACACAGCCUCCCAACUGAAGGCCAAGUUCAGAGGCAGUGUUUGCACUGACCUCUUUAGAGCCAGGCUCGCUUUCUGAAUUUGACCCAGUCCUUUUGGCUAGGAAGUCAAACAACGAGCAAAAAAACAGUGGUUAUGAAUCUGCACAUUUAUUAUAGCCACUAAGAACUCAGUUUGUAACAUAUUAUAGUUGUAACAAAAAAAAAUUCAUAAUCUUUGACUAAAUUACUUCACUUGUUUAACAGCUGAUUCCCAUUAAGCUUUUGUAUGGAUCACACCAGUAAUCUUGAUAAACCUCUGAUAAGGUGUCCAGAUGUCCCAGGUUUGCCAGUUUCUAAUUAGCAGUCCUGGGGUCCUGUCAAUUAAAGUUGGUGUUUUGUGCCCAGGGCCAUAAAGUGAAAAGUUUUCUGCAUCUGAUGUCAAUUCUUCAAAGAAGGACCCCCUCCUUACCAUUGGAUAUUGAGUCCCAGUUGGAGAGACUGCAAAUUUGAUCAGCCUAACAGAAAUUACAGGCAAGCCUGGAAACAAUAUUCUCUUGUGUAUGUCCUAAGAAAGUGCCAUUCUUCCUCCAUGCUUCAACUUCGCCUAUGGACAGAGGUGCCCCAGCCUUCAUGGGAGAGACAGGGAUUCACCUCAAGAUGACACACUCUAAAAAGGGGAAUCAUGUAAAUUUAAAGUCCUAGGCCAAGUAGUUACAGUUUAAAAGCUGAAAUGAGAAGGGCAGGCUGCAACCCUUCAGAUGUGCUGGGAGGGGGGAAUUAUACGUGACAAUAGUGGCAGUGAAUUCAACCAGUCCUUUCUUUUCUCUAAAUACCCUUAAGUUCUGUAAACUCCUCAUCCUUUCUCUCUAGCUCUAGCAGGUAAUGUUUCAAGAACAAGCUGACUUGCUGAAAUGGAGGGCAAUCUAACUCUUGCCAUAACGUUUAAAGUCUAGAGUUUAACUUAACAGGUUGAGGUUUCUCAGUUUGUUUCUGUAAUAAGACAGGCAGAAAGCAGCAGAUACAAGCUCUUUCAUGAUGCACAAGAUUGUAACACCUCUGUUUUAGUGCCAUCUUUUACUUAUCCUCUACUACCUUUAGUUUUUAUCUACCAUUACAUGUGGGUUCCCAUUGGAGUUCCUAAUAACAGUGCUGUGAGAGUCUUCAGAAAAAAAAAAAAAAAAAAAAAAAAGAAAAAAAAAAAAAACA